rnacentral:rRNA from 1 species
GACGUAGGGAGCAAGCGUUGUCCGGAUUUACUGGGCGUAAAGCGCGCGUAGGCGGCCUAUUAAGUGUAGAGUGAAAUCUCCAACGCUCAACGUGGAAAUUGCUCUGCAUACUGGUAGGCUAGAGGGACGUAGAGGUAACUGGAAUUCCCGGUGUAGCGGUGACAUGCAUUGAUAUCGGGAGGAACACCCAUGGCGAAGGCAGGUUACUGGACGUCUCCUGACGCUGAGGUGCGAAAGCGUGGGUAGCAAACAGG